rnacentral:rRNA from 1 species
UACGUAGGGUCCGAGCGUUGUCCGGAAUUAUUGGGCGUAAAGAGCUCGUAGGCGGUUUGUCGCGUCUGCUGUGAAAUCCCGAGGCUCAACCUCGGGCCUGCAGUGGGUACGGGCAGACUGGAGUGCGGUAGGGGAGAAUGGAAUUCCCGGUGUAGCGGUGAAAUGCGCAGAUAUCGGGAGGAACACCUAUGGCGAAGGCAGCUCGCUGGGACGUUACUGACGCUGAGACGCGAAAGCGUGGGGAGCAAACAGG